ACUACAAAUCCUAACGCACAAAAGCUUCGUUCAGGUUAGGAAAGCAGGAGGUCUUGUGUGUCUCUGGUGUUAUAAAUGGCUUUUGCCAGAGAGAAGAGAGCAUAAUAAGCUAGAAGAAAUUCUCUCUUUCUACUGUGAUCAACGUUCACUCCAGAAACAUUUUUCUCUGUUACUGAGCAGAGACCUGAGACAAGGGGCUGUCAUACUGUGUGGAAUUGCCCAUCCAUCAUAGAGGAGAAAUGACCUGGGGAGAAAGCAGUGAUGAUGAUACCCUGGGCAUGCCUU